rnacentral:rRNA from 1 species
AACGAACGCUGGCGGCAUGCCUAACACAUGCAAGUCGAACGAGACCUUCGGGUCUAGUGGCGCACGGGUGCGUAACGCGUGGGAACCUGCCCUUAGGUUCGGAAUAACUCAGAGAAAUUUGAGCUAAUACCGGAUAAUGUCUUCGGAUCAAAGAUUUAUCGCCUUUGGAUGGGCCCGCGUAGGAUUAGCUUGUUGGUGGGGUAAUGGCCUACCAAGGCGACGAUCCUUAGCUGGUCUGAGAGGAUGAUCAGCCACACUGGGACUGAGACACGGCCCAGACUCCUACGGGAGGCAGCAGUGGGGAAUAUUGGACAAUGGGCGAAAGCCUGAUCCAGCAAUGCCGCGUGAGUGAUGAAGGCCUUAGGGUUGUAAAGCUCUUUUACCAGGGAUGAUAAUGACAGUACCUGGAGAAUAAGCUCCGGCUAACUCCGUG